GGCUGAUUUAAUUUGAUCUUCUUCUAGAAUCAUCUCAGACCCUUCCGAGGUUGAAGAUGGAUUAAUGGAGGUUGUGGGACAUUGGAAAAAAAUCAGAGAAAACACCUUUUCUCUGAUCUAAACCAUCUCUCCCAAAAAUUAUUCAACACCAAUGCUAAACUCUUAUCAGAGAAGAGACGGUCUCUUCUAAUCACACGCUAAAUCAAUGGCAACCCACCCCAGAUCCUCAUGCCCCCAAAUAAGGUUCGGCCCCUCUUUCUUUCAGAUAUCUCAUGGUGAGAAAAACGCUAGGUUUUUGUUACACAAAAACAAAAGGAAGUUAUAGAGUGGCCGGCCAAGGGGUUUAAGGAUAAGGAACUAGAAUUUGGGAUCAAAUUGAAUUCAAAGUUCAACUUAAUUCAAACUCAAAUAAACCAAUUUGCCCAUAAAUCUUUUCCAUGGUGAGAAACAAGUUUUUCUCAUGGACUUUUGGA
rnacentral:lncRNA from 1 species